UGAAGCUCGCUGGAUUGAGUGUUUAGCUGUUAACUAAAAUCUUACGGGAUCGAGGCCCGUCAUACUU
rnacentral:tRNA from 1 species